CAUGGUAUGGCUGCUGUAUUUUGUAGUUUAUUUUGAUACACUUAAAAUUAAGGUAUUUGGUAUUUUAUUUUAAAAUACAUUUUGAUACAUUUUUGCCCAAGCAUCUUGUAUGUGCUCCAGUUUCACUUGAUGUUUACUGAUUUUUGGGGUUAAUAAUAGCCUAUACUGUACUAUAAACAAACGUGUGUCAGGUCACCUUAAUUUCUACAGUGCUUUACGGAUUGUUUCAAAGCAGAAAAUUACAGAAUCAACGAUGCAAACUUAAUUAAAUAUGAGAAAAAUUUAAUACAAUAGUAUUUAAUACAAUAUAAGACAGUAGUCACGUCACGUGACGUCAGUCUUCUGCAGGCGCAGUCUGUGUGCAUCGCGUCAUCAUGCGAGAGCGGGAAUCUCAAUAACCGUCGCUGAAUUUUCUCCUCAGAUUUCUAAAGAUGAAUUUUGACGAUAUAAUACUCAAAGUACAUGUUUUGAGUUGAUAUUCGGAACAACUUUUAUGUAUAUAUUCAUUUUUUUUUACAGUUUUAAAGUUUAAUAACUCGUUUUUAUUCAGAAGAUUAAGCAGACGAAAUUGUGGUCACGGCUGUUUUCACUUGAUGGAAAUCCACAAAUGUCAAAUUAAAUGAAGAAACGCUUUCUCCUGAGCUACACACAGCUAUUUUCACUUGAGGGAAAUCCACAAAUGUCAAAUUAAAGGAAGAAAUGUUUUCUCCUGAGCUACACACAGUUAAAUCUAUCAUCACGACACCAGUGGACACAGGUCGCGAUUUAACAUUACAAAGGAUCCUGUUGGGGAAUCCCUUUCUGCAGAUCCUGAUGCCCUCCAGCACACCGUUACAGCGCAGCUGGUGCAUGACCAGAGGAUUCUCCAUCGCCCCAGGAGUCUUAGUCUCAUUGGGGAUGAGGCAGCGCACAAAGUGAGGUGUCAACAGUGACUUUGUCACCAUCUCUGCUGGUGAUGGAGGCUUUGACGUACUCAACCUCAGGGUCGGGCACAAAGCACUCUUUCUUCAUGUCGAAGGGGCGAGUUUGGGCCUCCAGACGCUCCUUGUCUGACUUCCGCAGGAAGGAUGCGGCAGACCCAAACUCUGCCAUUUGUAGAUGCAAAACUUCUCACCUUGUGUUUGUCAAAACUCUGUUCCCUAAAUCUGCAAGAGCCGGUGUUACGCUAAGGACGAAACAAAAGAGUCAUUAGCGUUUGAGAUCACGGAUGUGAUUUUAGUUGUUACUUAUCAGAAAAAAUCCCUACACCUAAACUUGUAAUGGAUUUAUCUUAUUGUGUCAGCUUUUGGAAGAGGUUUUUGUGAGUUCCAGGAGAUCUUCCUUGGUCUUUCUGUUUGGAGGAUCUUUGGUUCUUACCUCAGGAUGUCCUGUGUGUUGUGUCACUCCAGAGUUGAUGCUACCUUUUUAAAGGGAGUCACUGAUCCCAAAAUGGUGGUUUGUCGUGGAUGCCCCACCCUGGUCCUGCUAAAUAAACCUUCAAAUGAUUGGAUGGCAUAGGAUGUUCAACGGCAGUUGACAUAUAUGGUGUGAUGUAACAAUAGGCUUUUGGGAGGAAGGACAAAAGAACACCCAUGUUGCUUAAAAGAUUCAUCCACACCAUCCUAAUCAGGAACUCCUUUUACAAUGUUGUCUCAGGUCAACAAGAACAACAGUUGUCUAUUUUGGAUCCCUUCCUCAAUGAGCAGGACACCUCUUGACAUCUGAGCAAUGUGAAUCUGUCAUGGUAUGUCACAAGAAUUUUUUUUGUAACAUGCUCAGCCUCUCCAUUGUUUUUUUUUUUUCUCAGAAAGACAAGCUUUGCAAGAGCUGACACAUGCAGUGUAUCCAAUGAAAAUUAAAGCUUGACAGAUUUUAAAAUUUGUUCAAGAGUUACUACUUAGGGAUGUUAUUCUCUUAUAUAAGACGUUAAUUAAUUUUUAUUUAUCUAAAAUACCUCUGUCAGCUCAAGAUCAAUCAGCCUUUUGUCAAAGUAAUGUCCGUACACUUUUUGUGAGAUAUCAUGUUUAACUUUUGCACACAUUAUAGAUGUUUUAAUAUGUCAUUGCUUGAGACUGUCAUAUCAGCCAAGUGAAACAGUAGCAUAAAAGAAGAUGUGACAAAUAAUUCAGGUCUGUCUAUAGAUUGAGGUGAUGGACAGCCAACAGCUGGUCUUCUUUGCAAGGUCGAGAUCAUCUACUGCUCAAUUGUCACGGCUUGUACCGCUGGACCUCAACCUCUUGCUCUUCUUGUUGACAUCCCAUUGUUUUCCCUCUAUCCUUGAGGACAAAGAUAACCAUACUGAAUUUUCUCAGCUUCUUUACAGUCGCUGCAGAGGGUCAGACAGCUGUAUACGGGGGCCUCUGCGGUGUGAGAGGCUGCAACAGCUGUUCAUUGUGCUGCAAAUGUUGUGGUGUGAAUUUUUGCAUGUAUCUUUUAUUAGGAACCUUGGGAUCUUUUAACGUAAGGAUUAAGAUCAACAUGUGAUCCUUUUAACAUCUUCAGUAUCGAAGUAAUGAUGUUACAACAUGCAUACUUAUGAGUUAUAUACAGUCCUGUUAUUUUAGUCAGUUGUCAGAGUCCUAAAAUACCACAUUCAUAGCACCCUUCUGUGAAGUUUGCUUGACCCAAUUGUCACGCUAAGCUUUGAAGGUCACGGUAAAGUGUUAUAUAGUAUAGGUUUCCUGAUUGUAACUUGCAGUCUCACUAAUUAUAAAUCAUAUAAACAUGCUAGACAUAAUACAAAGAUUUAAUCAUUAACAAGUGAAACUAAAGUAAAGCAAAAAUAAGGGGGGAAAGAAAAUAUGGCUGCAUGAUUUAGGGAAGAAAUCCAAUUGUUAUUUGUCUGAUAAAAUUUGUGAUUUAAUUUAAAAUACAAUUAAAUAUAAAUUCAAGUUUGUUGUGCUUGUUUGUAGGGCUGCAUAAUUUAGGCAAGAUUUUGUGAUUAUCAAUAUGUGCAUAAAAUAAUAUUACUGAAUAAAAAUUUCUAAAAAAAAAACAAACAAAAAAAACAAAACAAAAAAAACGAGUAUUUAAAAAAUAAUAUAAUAUUUUGUUCCACAAUACACUUGCAUAAUUACAACACUAAUACUGGUGGAUAAUGAACUGCUUGUGUGUAAGAAUAAUAAAAUCACAGUCUUUGCAAUUUGAUAAUUGCACUAAGCCAUAUCUUGAUUUUGGUUUUAUGUCAUGCACCAAAAAGUAAAUGUUCUUAACCUGCAUGAACUGCUGUUUCCAAUUUGUGUAUAUCAUCAGACAACAUCCUAUCAUCAUACCUGUGAAACCUGUCAAACUAGUCGCUUUUCUGCGAAAUUCACUGUUUUGAAUCAAAAUAUGUCAAUUAUGUGAAUCAUGUAGAUAUGAAAUCCAUAUCAUGUCACAUGUAAUUGAUCGAUCAGUGUUUUAACCAUAAAAAGGCGUCAUGUAAAAAUGUCACAUUUAUAAUAAAUAAAAUACUGUCACAUUUACCUCAGAAAAGCCACUCAAUGUCGAAAAACUAAAAAAUGAACUUAAAGAGGAACAUUUUGAUAAAUAUAUGCACUGUAGGCUAUUGCAUAUUGUAUUUGUAUUUAACAUGUGCUUCAAUAUUGAAUGUAUAAAUCCAUUUUAUGACACCCACAAUUUAAAUGUUUAGGCCUAUAUUUAAAUCACAAAUAUUGGCCCCUGACAACUAUUUAGUUCAUAAACGUCACCUUUUUCACCGCUUUUGAGUUUGCAGGUCUUGAAGGUCUUAACAUCAAACAGCCAGUUGGACCCAUCCAUCACUGUGAUGGGGGUCAGUGAUCAUUUCUGAUUAGCAUCUCAGAGUGUUGGGUCAAGAAGAUGUUUUCUCAAGCUGUCUUGCUAUGACGAAGUGGAACAUUCCGAUCCACACUCCUCCCUGAGACGGAGGUGGUUCAUUCUCAGCUGUUUAGGCCCUUUGUCGUCUCAGCUCACCAAAAGGUCAAUGACUUGACCCAUUGUACUUCAUGACCAUUGAGCAGGCUAUUAAUGGCAACCGAGGGGGUCUGUUUGCUUGAUUUACUUGGACAAGUGUUCACUAGACGUCCCGUGAUCCUUUGCUCCUUUGAUUGAGUUGCUUGUCAUUUGUUCAUUAUCCCUUGUUCGAGCCAGCUGUACGAUGAAGUGGGAGAAUCAGAGAAUACAGCCACACACAAACACUCUGCUCCCUGCAGGAGAAGGAGAACACAUCACUGAAGCACAGAUGAAGGACAGCUGCUCACCAUAACAUGAAAACGCACCAUACAUCUAUCAUAAACAUAUUACAUUAUUUUGUGCAUUGUAUUCAUAGUCUUCAGGAGUUGUAUGUUAUUAACACCGUGUGAGGAAAAGUUUCGUAUUCUGUAAUAAAAUCAUUAUGCUUCCAUUUUAACUUUCAAAAUUGGUGCGUCAAACACUACGGCACAGAUUUUGCGGCAGUGACGUCAAAAGUCAUUGGCUCCUUAUUGGCUGUCACUAGUAAUUUGCAUCAUACUGAAUUGGAGUUACUGGUAAUGGUUUGAGUGAGAUGCAGCGCGAUGCUUUGGAGGAUGGACAUGUGGAUCAGGGGAAUGUUUGCACCGAUUAACAACUUCAGUUUCAUUCUGUAACUCACACAAAUUAAAUUUUGCUGUCUGAGUUCUGGUAAUGUAGAACAUGAGUUGUUUGGCUAUUUUUUAUACUUCAUUUUGGCAUGUUUUAAAUAAAUUAUUGUGACUGUACAUUAUCUGCCUGUUACAUUUUGUACAUUG